GCCGGGCAUGGUGGCGCAUGCCUGUAGUCCCAGCUAUUUGGGAGGCUGAGGUGGGAGGAUCGCUUGAGCCCAGGAAGUCAGGGCUGCAGCGAGCCAUGAUCAUGCCACUGCACUCCAGCCUGGGUAAGGCAGUGAGUCCCUCUCUCAA
ensembl:misc_RNA Metazoa_SRP Metazoan signal recognition particle RNA